UGGGGCAGUCCAUGCGGGGGAUCCUGCUUGUGGACGUGCAGGUUCUCAUUGGGUGGUGGCGCUUCAGUUGCUCCCUCACCAUUUCACCGUGACAUGUCAGCUCUGGACAUUAAUGAGAGGAAAAAAAUAAAUAAAAAAAAAUUUGCUCCGGUGUAACCUGAUUGGCAGACACAGACGGGCUCUCCUGCUUCUGACACUUUGCACUCUCCAUGUGUGCAGCGCUGGCCCCUGCAGGCUAGAGGCUCCUGUCGCCGAUCGCAAUACUGACCCUGAUAUCCUUCAUUACACUGACAACUGUAGGACUGACCCUUCAAUACACACACUCCAUUGACACAUCUGCAGCACGAGAAAGUGAAGAGAGGAGUGCAUCAUUAUUGAGGCCUCAAAAGUCAUUCAAAUGAUACAUGAAUCUUAAGAAACAGUUUUUUUGUGACCCACUCCGUCCUGGAGGACACUCACAUGUGACCCCGGUCUCUCCUCCCUCCCUGCAGACGCCCUGCGCACAAACACUGCAGGCGUGGCAGCCUGCUAGAAUACCAUCAGCC